CCUGCGGGCCCCGGCGUGCGGUCUGCCGGAGGGCGUCCUGACGGCGCCUCCACCGCGGCGAGUCCGGGCCGUGGCCGGCGGUGGGAAGCAGGCGAGGCGCGCCCGAGGAGAGGGGACGGUGAAGGAAGAAGCUCCAGGGACGUGGGACAAUGGCCGAGAAAAGUAGCGCGAGCUGUCGGGGGAAAUCGGAGGGAAGGGACUGCGUGCGCACCUGACUGCGUCCUGGGGCAGGGGGCCGAGGGCAGCGCGUGCUUUACCCUUUUAAAGGUUCACCGCAUUUCCCGCCCAAGUUUAAGCAAGGCGAGAGAAAAAACCAAAUAUACAUUCAUGUGUGUAUAUACACUUUUGUGUCGACAGUUUUAUUUCUGGGAACCCAAUUUGAAGGAAUUUUGUUGAUUUUAUUGCCGUUUAAACAAGAGUAGAGAAGCCCACCAUCUGAAUGCAGCGUUGGCUAAAGGUCAGCGGGAGACCCUGUCCUGGCCCCAUCAGUUAGCAGUCUCCACUGCAGACUGGGUGGAAAGGCAAAAGGUCGUGGAAAAUGUGAAGGCACACGAAGUCCGGGAUUCAAAACAGCAGACAUUAACCAUGGCACUAGAUGGUUGAGUGACAUGGUCACCAGGCCAGACUCCACAUCAGCACUUUUGCGUGUCUGAAGAUGAUUGAGAAAUGCCAAAACAACCUUGUAUCCCAAGGUAAGUUCUACUUGGUCAUUGUCUCAUGCUGCUGGAUUUGAUUUCCUUGUUUAUGUUCAUGUGGCAUAAUGUGAUGACUUUGGCCUCAACGAGCUUGGAAGUGGAUUCUUUUCCAAAGCCUCUAGUUAGAAGCCUGGUCCAGCUAAUGCCUUGAUUUGAGCCAUGUGACACACUGAGCAAGAGAGCCCUGUUGAGUCUGCCUGGACUUCUGACCUACAAGAAGUGUGAAGAUUGAGUGGCCUCUGUGAAACUAGCCGCAAGGUAUUCUGGCACCGUACGGGCCACUACAGCUCAAAUGAGGUGUCUGUCUUGAUGAAGGGACAGCUGCAGCUGGCUCUGGUCUUCCCCUUUCUUCUGCCCCGAUUGGGCACGAUGCCUGGAAUAGGAGCUGCCAUCUUGCAACCAGGAAGGAGAGGCCAAGAGAAUCGCAGCAAUGCUGGCUCCGGACCUCAGGAGCUGCUGAACAAAUGCUAACGGCUCCCUGCUGCAGACCUCGUGUUCUAUGAAAAACUGAAAACUCGUUUGUUCAUUAUGCUCACUUAUAGCUGAAAGCCUUCCUAACCAAGACAACUAGUAUACAUUCUUGCCGUGGACAGUGGGGGUGGGGGGGGCUAAGGAUUUUCCAAGUCCAGUCAAUUCAUCAGAAUUUGUAGAAGCUUGUUCUCAAAAGCACGGGAGGUAUCGAGUCCCGCUGGGGUCAGGUCAAAACGACACAGAGGCCGACUAGAGGAGACCUCACUGGCCAAGGAGGGGGACAAUUUGAACAUUGGAAAACAAUGUCCACACGGGAUCAAAUUGAGUUAAGAGUGGACAAAGGCACUUAUCCAAGCACUUACCUUGCCCUUCUGGUAUGAACUGUAUUUCAGAGCAACCAAAGAGGUAAUAAGGAGUUCUUUAGAGAAGAAUUCCAGUUACUACAGGCAGAAGGAAUGAUACAGUUAGAAAACCCCCACGCGGGAACACAUGAUGAAACAAGGAAUCCAGGCAGCCGCCGUCAGGAAGUAUUAGGUGAGAGGUCGACAGGGAACCUUCGGAUGGACCACACUGAUGACACCUGAACCCACUGAUCGAUUUUUACAUCUCUAAACGUGGGACAGUCAGACGUCACGUACCUCGUGAUGUGAUACGUCAGAAAGUCCACAGCAUCUGUCGAUCUAAUCCAGCUUGCAGUAAAUACAAGGACAGGCUGAAUGACACGAGGAGGAAACCGUCAGCCAAGUCCACAAGGUAGGAUAUUACACUGGACAGAGACUCAUUCCUCCCCUUCCUCAAGUAAAUGGCAUGAAAACAGGGAGGGGAGAAGAACUUACAGAGUAAAAGAGACUUAAGUGUUCUUUCGAUCGAAUAUGAUGUGUAGAUCUUACUUGGAUCCUAGUUUGAAUGAGAUAACUAUAAAAAUACUAUUGGAGCUUAGGAAAAUUUGAUAUGUUCUGGGUAUUACCUCACAUGAUAACUGCAUUCUGGGUUUGUUUUUUUUUUUUAAUGCUUAUUUUUGUGAGAGAG